rnacentral:misc_RNA from 1 species
UACGGAGGGUGCAAGCGUUGUCCGGAAUCACUGGGUGUAAAGGGUGUGUAGGCGGGUCGGUAAGUCAGGGGUGAAAGCCUACGGCUCAACCGUAGAAUGGCCUUUGAUACUGCCGAUCUUGAGUCCUGGAGGGGCCGUUGGAAUUCGUGGUGUAGCGGUGAAAUGCGUAGAUAUCACGAGGAACACCAGAGGUGUAGACGGACGGCUGGACAGGAACUGACGCUGAGGCACGAAAGCGUGGGGAGCAAACAGG